GAAAAGGCAAGAAUGGGAACAGCUGUCAGAGUACAAUUAUAGAUCAGUACAGUGUGCUGCUCGAUGCUUGUGUAUAAAUGGGGUUUAUUUUUAGACAGGAGCAUGACUUAACCAAAGUCUUCCCAAGGAGGGCUUUAUUGCCCAUGACUUAAUUACUUAGUGCUUAGUCACGCACAGAACCCCUUUUUUCAAAAGACUUUAAUUUGAGUCCAAAUUAAUCAUAAUAGUACAAUGUGUGUGACAUUUAACAGGAUGCUGGCAAUACCGUCUUUGGUCACUGAGGAGCAGCAUUCUCUUCCUGGUGAAGCAAAGAAUGAAAGAUGAUCCAGGCUGACCAUGGUGGAAAAAUAAGGCUCGGCCCGGUGCUGUCCCGCUAAAACCUUUGACCGUGACCUCUGCUACACUUGCAGCUGAGCUUUUGAAAGCACCUGCGCAGCUCUGGCGCCCAUGGAGAAGAUUCCAACUACCAGGAUGUAUUCCAAGAAAAAGUCCUAGUGUGGCCAAAUUAGCGCCGGAGCCCACAUGUUAAGCGGUCAUGCUUAACACCAUCUCCCAGCAGUGAAUCAGAGCCUCUGUGUCAAAGCAGUGCUCCCAAAAGGCUCCCAGGAAAUCCAUCUCCGGUCAAAACCUCCUCCCACCGUCUCCCCACAGCCCGGGCCACUUGAUACCACCACAGGACGGGCUUGAAGGUAUGGAAAGAAAGCAGCUGGCAGCGGGAUCAGGAGGAAAGGCGCAGCCACAGACAUACUUCGCUGCCUCAGCUCCAGGAACAGUGCGACAAACGACACUGAUGAACAUUAACGCGCCACUAAAACUUACCGAUUUCAAACUAAUCUUGUAAAUAAAUAAAUAAAAACUUA